rnacentral:rRNA from 1 species
AGUGAACGCUGGCGGUAGGCCUAACACAUGCGAGUCGAACGGCAGCACAGUAAGAGCUUGCUCUUACGGGUGGCGAGUGGCGGACGGGUGAGGAAUACAUCGGAAUCUACUUUUUCGUGGGGGAUAACGUAGGGAAACUUACGCUAAUACCGCAUACGACCUACGGGUGAAAGCAGGGGAUCUUCGGACCUUGCGCGAUUGAAUGAGCCGAUGUCGGAUUAGCUAGUUGGCGGGGUAAAGGCCCACCAAGGCGACGAUCCGUAGCUGGUCUGAGAGGAUAAUCAGCCACACUGGAACUGAGACACGGUCCAGACUCCUACGGGAGGCAGCAGUGGGGAAUAUUGGACAAUGGGCGCAAGCCUGAUCCAGCCAUACCGCGUGGGUGAAGAAGGCCUUCGGGUUGUAAAGCCCUUUUGUUGGGAAAGAAAAGCAGCAGGUUAAUACCCCGCUGUUCUGACGGUACCCAAAGAAUAAGCACCGGCUAACUUCGUG